ensembl:snRNA U1 U1 spliceosomal RNA
UUUAAAAACUGGCAGGGGAGAUACCGUGAUCACAAAGGUGGUUUUUCCAGGGCGAGGCUUAUCCAUUGCACUCCGGAUGUGCUGACCACUGUGAUUUCCCCAAAGGUGGGAAACUCGACUGCAUAAUUUGUGGUCGUGGAGGACUGCGUUUGCACUCUCCCUUU